UCUUUCAUUCCCGCGCGCAUCUCCUUCGUCUCUCCCAAACCUUGUCUACCUUUUUGUUUCCCUCUGUUCUUGCUAGAAAUGGCAAGCAUCUCCUUCGUCUCUACCCAACCUCAUCUCCCUCUGUUCUUGGUAGAAACCGCACGCAUCUCCUUCGUCUCUCCCUAAACUCGUCUCCCUUUGUUCUUGCUAGAAACCGUGCACAUCUCCUUCACUGCUCGUGCUAGAUACCGGAGGUUGUUGCUCGUGAAAGAACACCAAGAGCUUUUUCAUCAUCUGCCCAUUCUCUUUGGUGCUCUCCAUUCAGGGUCUUAGGUUAGCUAAGCAAUUGGGACUCAGUCAAAUGGAGGUGGAAGGGGACUCAAAAAGUAAUCAUCUCUUGGGCUAGACAAGACAUAUUCUAUAGACUCUCAAGAAUGCUUAUAGGGAAAUAGAAAGGAUUGCAAGAGAGUUGGGUGCUGAAUUCAAAUGGCUAGAUGUAAUAGACAUAUUCUAUGGACUCUCAAAAGUUUGCAUUUUUUUUGUAGGUUGAUAUUGCAUACUACGCAAUGAGCAAUAGCGAUCAAUGUCCGAGAAGACCCUGUUUUUCAGAGAGAAGGCCCUGACAUCCAUGUUGAUGCUGUUCUUAGUGUGAGUCAGGUAAUUCCUAGUUCUAGUUUUUCUGUAUUCAUCUUAUUCCAGGAAACCUUUUUUUCCCUGAUGUACAAACAAAUUGAUUCUUCCAAUGAGUACAAUAUGAGAUAGUUUCUUGAGGUGGUAGUUGGGUCAAACUAAUCCCAAAUAGUUAAUAUUAAAGCUGAUUUGAGUUAGAGUUGGUGGUUGU